rnacentral:lncRNA from 1 species
GGGCUGCCUCCUCCGCAGGUGGUGCAGGAGGUCGUCGGCUUCCUGCACCGCCUGGCCGCCGCCAGCAAGGACUGCGCGGUGGCCAUGUGCCGCGCGGGCGCCCGCGAGGCCCUGGGCAAAGCCCUGGAGAAACACAGCUCGGCCGUGCCGAUGGCGCCGGCCCUGCUGGAGCUGCUGAGCGACUGCGAGAAGUUCACCGGCCUCCACCGGACGCUGACGGGCAGCAUCUUGGCCGGCUGCAUCCAGGUGGGCCUGGGCAGCCGGGGAGCCCGUCGGCGCGGGGCUCUGGGUCUGGGGGCAGCCCCCGGCUCUCCGCCCGCUGCAGCGGGCGCAGGGGAGGAGGAGGCAGGCCCCCAGUAACCGCCCGCCCCCGUCCCCCAGCUGGCGCUGGGGCAGAUCGAAGAGCACCGCCGGAGCCAGCGGCCCGUCAGCAUCCCCUUCUUCGACGUCUUUCUGCGCAACCUGUGCCGAGGCUCCAGCGUGGAGGUGAGGGAGGACAAGUGCUGGGAGAAGGUGCAGGUCUCCUCCAACCCGCACCGCGCCAGCAAGCUCACGGACAGGAACCCCAAGACCUACUGGGAGUCGAACGGCAGCACCGGCUCCCACUUCAUCACUGUGCACAUGCAGUGCGGGGUGGUGGUCAGGGAGAUGAGCAUGCUGGUGGCCAGCGAGGACUCGAGCUACAUGCCAGCCCGCGUGGUGGUGCUGGGGGGAGACAGCCCUGCUGCCGUCGGGACGGUGCUCAACACCGUGAGCGUGCUGCCCUCGGCCAGCAGGGUGGUGCUGCUGAGGAACAUGACGCGCUUCUGGCCCGUCAUCCAGAUCCGGGUGAAGCGGUGCCAGCAGGUGGGGAGCCGGGGGCCAGCC